rnacentral:rRNA from 1 species
UACGUAGGGUGCGAGCGUUGUCCGGAUUUAUUGGGCGUAAAGAGCUCGUAGGCGGCCAGUUGCGUCCGCUGUGAAAUCCCGGGGCUUAACCCCGGGCGUGCAGUGGAUACGGGCUGGCUGGAGGCAGGCAGGGGAGAACGGAAUUCCUGGUGUAGCGGUGAAAUGCGCAGAGAUCAGGAGGAACACCGGUGGCGAAGGCGGUUCUCUGGGCCUGUACUGACGCUGAGGAGCGAAAGCGUGGGGAGCGAACAGG